rnacentral:lncRNA from 1 species
UCCAUUGAUGUCAGCCAUAAAAUGAAGGGAGCGCGAUUCAGCGGAUCGCUGGAUGCGGAGAUACAUAAAGGUGUCCUCAGAGUCGGCAGCGUGGUGACUUCUCCGGUGGAAGAACAACCAGAACUGCGUGCCCCCACUACUUCAUUUAUUGCCAGACAUGCAGGAGUAGGAUGCUCUGCCUUGCCGUCAACCCAUCUUCCGUGUCUCUCAGUUAUGGAAAGAGAGUCGAGUUUGAGUCCAGCUGUGGCAGGAACAUCACAAGUCACCGUGUCAUGUGCAUCAGGAGGAGGCACGUUCCACACAAAGAAAUACUCAACAGGUUGUGCUUGGUACAGACUGCUUUGAAAGGGUGUGUGUGGUCCUGGUGGGAUUCAUCUUGCAGUCUCGGAACCCUUAAUCCAGAUGAAAGCCAGCCCAAUUGCUGUACUUUCAAAAUGCUGAUGAACUUCCUUGAGAGAGGUCAAGUGAUUUAUAGCACCUUUCAGCCACUUUUGAACUGA